CACCAAAGUAGAAUGUGGAACAUUUUCUUUAUAAACUAUGUUACAAAGGAUUGCAGAGGCUGAGUGGAUUCUACUCAGGGUGCUGCUGUGGACAUGGGUGGUGUAAGUGAAGUGGUGACGGAGAUGAACAGAACUGAAGAAAUCUAGAAAUUUAAAGUCAAGGGGGUUUGAAAGCAUUUCUUUGAGGACACUGAAACCACCCCAGAUGAUGCCAGGAUUUGGGAUGGAGAGGUGGAUAUGAGACAAUUGCCAAAGGCAUCUCAAUGAAUAUGGAGGCAGUUCUGACUGAGGAGGAGUCAGUAGGUAAGAGAAAAGGUGAGGAGUAGAGGGUGGCAUAAUGGUAUGAGCCUCAAAGGUUUUUUUUUUUUUAACUGUUGGUUUCUUCCCCUCUUCUGUUUUCUGUGGUGAAAUGAGAUCUUCUCCUCUAUAAGUGCAAACUUUAUGCAUUUAACUGGCAAGGUAUCUGCUUCCAUUUGAGGGGGCAUCUGCCUGCCAUCUCUGUGAAUCUUAUCGAUAACCUGAAAGUAACUUUGGUGACGUAGUUGGAACAAAAACUUAACUUCUUGCUCCUAUGAUUCUACUUUGAUACUAAAUAAGCUUUCCUUUAUGAGACACCAGUCAGUAAAUAGAACAGAAGUUAUGGUUAAAUAGUUUAACAUAUUUUCAUCAUUACAAUUAUAAUAUGCCUUGCCAUUUCAAACCAAAUAUCCACUUACUUUCUUGAAAUUUUACUAGAAAUCUAUUAUUCAAGGGUGCUGAGAUAAUUUUUUUAUUGAGAUAAACAUUUUUGUGGAUUAGAUAUGAAUUCAGGAAUAAUAAUUUAAUUAAAUUAGAUGGCAUAAGUAAUUCAUGAUGUGCAAUUUCACAUGAGUUCUAGCAUAAAAAUAAAGCUAUUGGUUUAUGUGCUGGGAAAAUGUAUUUUGUUAUUUAGAAAGGUAGUGAACAUUUAUUAUUUUGGAAGAUAAUUUACUUUAUGAUUAAACAGAGAAAUUAUAAGACUGAAAGAAACUAUAAAAUUUAAACUAAGGCUUUGAUGUAAGUCACUACUUCCAUGCACUUGAUAAACCACUACUUGCUAUGUGUUGGUCAAUAGUGGUUUCAGAAAGUAUGCUAUAAUAGCCUUCCAGAUCUUGAGGAAAAAUCUAACAAUUCUGCCUUCAUUUCCACCAGCCAGACCAUUUUAGGGAGUGUGUAGGCUACCUGGUGCUUCCUUUGAGGCCACUUUCUGUGUAGGUCUGUGUUCUGGUGAGCUCUCAGGCCCUUGACUACAUGGGAGACUUCCUCACUCAUUUGUCCUAUUCUCUAGGUCCAGGCAAGCAACUCUCCUUUUGUUUAAACUUUAAA